rnacentral:rRNA from 1 species
AACGAACGCUGGCGGCGUGGAUUAGGCAUGCAAGUCGAACGCGAAAGAGGGGGCAACCCCUCAAGUAGAGUGGCGAACGGGUGAGUAACGCGUGAAGAACCUGCCUUCAACAGGGGAGUAACACUCCCAACGGGGUGGCUAAUACCGCAUGAGACCACGGAUCCGCAUGGAUCUGAGGUCAAGGGUGGCCUCUGCUUGCAAGCUACCGGUUGAAGAUGGCUUCGCGCCCAUUAGCUAGUUGGCGGUGUAAAAGAACCACCAAGGCGACGAUGGGUUAGCUGGUCUGAGAGGAUGGUCAGCCACACUGGGACGUGAGAUACGGCCCAGACUCCUACGGGAGGCNGCAGUGAGGAAUCUUGCGGCAAUGGGCGAAAAGCCUGACGCAGCAACGCCGCGUGGAGGAUGAAGGUCUUCGGAUCGUAAACU